UUACUCAAAUUUCAAGUGUACGCACUCGUUGGAUGUGGAAUUAAAUUCUAUCUCUGACAAAUACCUACUUGCAUACUUUUGAUAGACUCACAGUGAGAUAAACUGGAGAUACAUGAAAAAACGCAUUUCUCACUUGUUGGAUACGGAAUUUAAUUCCACAUCCAAUGACUGCCUACACUUGAAAUGUGAGUAA
rnacentral:pre_miRNA from 1 species